rnacentral:lncRNA from 1 species
UUAAAUAGUGUUAAAUUAUAAGUAUGUGAGCGAGUUGUAGUAAAUAAUAGAAGUAGUGGUAUAAAUAGAAUUUUCCCUUUCUGUUUGUAAAGUCAAUUCAUUCAGUACAGUAAUAACAGAAAAAACGACUUCCAUUACAGCUUCUCCUUCUUCUCCGUUCUCUGCUCUUCUCUUCUUCUCCAUUCUUCAAACUUCACAUGGUAUCAGAGCCUCCAUUGUUGAGCUGAUCCCGUCAUGACUUCAUCAACUCAAUCAUCAUCGAUCCUUUCUGCACUCAGUUCUGCUCAUCCUUCAAACUACACCGAUCAUUUCGCAAAUCCGUUGUUCUUGUCUCCCAGCGACAAUCUCUCAUCUCCGAUCGUCGGAGUAAAAUUGACGAAUGAUAACUUUCACGUCUGGAGCAGGUCCAUGAAUGUAGCCCUGAGCAUCAAAAACAAGCUAAGCUUCAUUGAUGGAUCAUAUCCAGCUCCAGAUGUUCAGGAUGCUUCAUAUCAAGCUUGGAUUCGAUGCAACUUCGCAGUUCUGAACUGGAUUCUAAACUCUGUGUCAGAAGACAUCGCGCAGAGCCUUAUUUCUUAUGAUAAUGCAGCAGCUGCUUGGAACGAUCUCAAUCAACGAUUCCGCCAGUGCGACGCGAUCCGAAUCGCUGAUUUGCAGUCACGGAUUGCCUCGUGUGAUCAAGGUCAGACAACGAUCACUCAGUAUUUUACCAACCUUAAGGUUCUAUGGGAAGAAUACGUUCAAUAUAGACCAAUUCCUCUGUGUGAAUGCAAUCCUAAUCGAGUUUCGACUUGUAAAGUCAUCUCUAAAAUGCCGCUGUAUCAAGAGCAGGAUCAUGUGAUCCGCUUCAUUCGAGGACUGAAUGAAAGCUAUGAUGUAGUACGGUCUCAGUUGCUGUUAAUGGAUCCAUUGCCUGACAUUAACACUGCGUUCAAAUUCGCUGUUCAGAUGGAACGUCAAAUGAAAGGAAAUGUGGUUAGAUCUGUAGAUUCUAUUGCUCUUGCUGCAACUAACUAUGCUGGAAAUGGAAGAAAUAGAGAUUCUGGUGAAAAACAGCCUCUAUUUUGUAGAUAUUGUAAGAAGGACAAUCAUAACAUUGAAACAUGUAUGAAAUUAAAGAACAAAAAGGCUCGUGAAGCGAGUAAUGGUGGGGGGGAAGGGGUUUAUAGUAAAAAAUGCCACAGCCUCAAUCCCAAGCCACUUAUGCCAACCUAAUCACCACCACCAUUCCUGCAUCAUCUACAUCAUCAGGUACCUACUCCCUUUCCACUCUUACAUCUCAACCCCUUUCUAGUUACUGGAUAGUGGAUACAGGAGCUAGUAGUCAUAUUGCCUGUUCAUCUCACCUAUUCUCUCAUCUGAAUGUCAUUUCUCCCAUUCCUGUCACCUUACCUACUGGCAAAAGUGUUCUUGCUACUCAUUCUGGGUUGGUAAUAUUGCCAUGUGGCCUGUCUUUGCAUAAUGUGUUAUACAUUCCCUGUUUUUCUUUCAACCUUCUUUCUGUUAGCUGCCUCACGCAACAAUCACCUGUUUCUGUUGCUUUUUCAUCACAUCAGUGUCAUAUUCAGGCCCUUCCCUCACAGAAGACGAUUGGUUUAGCCCAAGAAAGUAGAGGUUUAUACCUUUUACCCGCCAUCCACACUACUGCCUUUGUUUCCCUCAUUUCUUCUAACAUUGCUGCUGCAGCUGUCUUUAACCUUCACCCUCAUUCUUUGGAUGUUUGGCAUUGCAGACUAGGGCAUCCAUCCCUAGGGAGACUUCAACUCAUCCACCAGGCUCAACCUUCCAUCACCCUUCCUUCAUCUUCUCACUGCAUUACUUGCCACCUUGCUAAACAAAAAACCCUUCCCUUUAACAAGAGCCAUUCCAGAGCUGAUUCUCCUUUUUCAUUAGUCCAUAUGGAUAUUUGGGGACCAUUACAUACUCCUACUCAUGAUGGUCAUAGUUAUUUUCUUACUAUCCUUGAUGAUUUCAGUCGUUGUGUAUGGAUUUUUCUCAUGAAACAUAAGAGUGAAACUCGAGAAAUUGUCAAAUCCUUUUGUUCUAUGAUAUCUACUCAAUUUUCAGUUCCUGUUAAGAUCAUUCGAUCUUAUCAGGGUGCAGAGUUUAAAAUGGACUCUUUCUUUGCUAAACCUGGUAUUCACUCUUUCUUUGCUACACAUGGCAUUAUUCAUCAGCAAAGUUGUGUUUCCAUCGCUCCCCAAAAUGGACGAGUUGAACGCAAACAUCAGCAUCUCUUAGCUGUUGCUCGUUCCCUACGAUUCCAGAGUGGUUUGUCUCUCAGAUUCUGGGGGGACUGUGUCUUACAUGCCUGUUACUUAAUCAACAGACUUCCAACUCCUGUUCUUAAUAACCUUUCCCCAUAUGAAACUCUAUAUAAUGUCAAGCCGUCUUAUGAUCACUUACGCAUCUUUGGCUGUCUAUCAUAUGCUAGCACCUUGUCCCAUAACCGUACCAAAUUUGCCCCCAGAUCCACUCCCUGUGUGUUCAUAGGUUUCCAGAAUGGGAUAAAAGGAUACAAGUUAUUAGACUUAGCUAACCAGAAAGUCAUUGUCUCCAGGAAUGUCGUGUUUCAUGAAAUGAUCCUCCCUUAUAGAGAGCCUGAUCUAUCCCCAACAACUACCACCAAUACAGACCAGUCCAUAAUUCCCAUUACCCUUGACUCACUCUCCCCUCCUGAUGAUGUUGAUAUGAAUAUUCCUCCCGCAAAUUCAAGUGACCAUCCUCAACCAGACAUCACCAUCACUACAGAUUCCAGAUCACCCUCAAAUACAAGAAAAACUCCUCAAACAAAGACCAUCAACACAGAUUCCACACCUACCCCUCAACACACUCAAUCCCAUACCUACAUUAACCCUACUCUCCCUUGCAAAAGACCAACACGAGUCACUAGACCCCCAAAAUAUCUAGAAGACUACCAUUGUUCUCUCCUUAGUUCAACAAAACCUAUUAUUGAAAAACACUCAUCUUUUCCCAUGCAUAAGUAUCUGUGUUAUGAUUUCCUUUCACCAACUCACAGAGUUUUUUCUUUGUCCAUCUCUCUUGAAUCUGAGCCACAAACCUUUGAAGAAGCCGUCAAAUCUCCCCACUGGAGGAGAGCCAUGAUGGAGGAAAUGCAAGCUCUCGAGGCAAAUGGGACAUGGACAGUUACUGAUAAGCCGUCAGGAGUAAGGCCCGUAGGAUGCAAGUGGGUAUACCGGAUCAAGUAUAAUCCAGAUGGAAGCAUAGACAAAUAUAAGGCACGCUUAGUUGCCAAAGGAUACACACAAGUGUAUGGGGUGGAUUUCACAGACACGUUCUCACCAGUGGCAAAGAUUACUUCUGUGAAAACACUGCUUGCUGUAGCUGCCGUGAAGGAUUGGCAUCUGCACCAAAUGGAUGUGAGCAAUGCAUUCCUUCAUGGAGACUUGGAUGAGGAAGUGUACAUGGACAUACCAAAGGGCUAUGAGACCAAAGGAGUUGGAAGACAGGUGUGCAAGCUGCAAAAGUCCUUGUAUGGUUUGAAGCAAGCAAGCAGAAUGUGGUUCAUCAAGUUCACCAAAGCGCUUAAGCAGGAAGGAUUUAAACAAUCUGACUCAGAUCACUCACUUUUCAAUUACUCAUCAGGAAAUUCCAUGCUGGUAUUAUUGGUUUAUGUAGAUGAUAUUAUCCUAGCUGGAAAUGACCUCACCCUGAUGGAAGAGAUCAAAGGAAAGUUGCAGAAACACUUUAAGGUGAAAGACAUGGGGCCCUUGAAAUACUUCCUAGGACUUGAGAUUGCCAGAACAAAGAAUGGAAUCUCCAUGUGUCAACGUAAAUACUGCCUGGAGAUGAUCUCAGAAGCUGGUCUACUGGAUGGGAAACCCACAAAGACCCCACUUGACUAUAAGGAAAAACUGAAAGCAGAUGAGGGAAAUCCACUGGAAGACAUCACUCAAUACAGGCAGAUAAUUGGAAGAUUGCACUAUAUCACAAUUACACGACCUGACAUUUGUUAUGCAGUGCAGCAGCUGGCUCAGUUUCAGGCUAAACCAACAGAUACACAUCUCAAGGCUGCAUAUAAGGUCAUUAGAUAUUUGAAAGGGUCUCCAGGUCAAGGUUUAUACUUCAGGAAAGAUAGUAACCUGGAAGUUCAUGGAUACUGUGAUUCAGAUUGGGCAAGUUGCCCAGAUACGAGAAGAUCAACUACGGGGUACUGCCUGUUUCUAGGUAGUUCGUUGGUUUCAUGGAAAACUAAGAAGCAGAGCACUGUCUCUAGAUCUUCAUCAGAAGCUGAGUACAGGGCAAUUGCAUCAUUGUGUUGUGAGGUUCAGUGGAUGAAGGUGCUGUUGGCAGACUUGGGAGUUCCUCACAAUAGUCCAAUGCAACUGUAUUGCGACAAUCAGUCAGCAAUCCACAUUGCACACAAUCCUGUAUUUCACGAACGUACUAAGCACAUAGAGAUCGAUUGUCACGUGAUUCGUGAACGAAUUGAGUCAGGAUUAGUGCAACUCAAGUAUGUGUCAACAGAAACGCAGCUGGCGGACAUCUUUACCAAGGGAUUAGCUGCUCCCAGGAUGCAGUUCUUACUGUCCAAACUGGGUAUAUUGAACAUCUACUCCCCAGUUUGUGGGGGGGUGUUAAAUGGUGUUAAAUUAUAAGUAUGUGAGUGAGUUGUAAUAGAUAAUAGUAGUAGUGGUAUAAAUAGAAUUCUCCUUUCUGUUUGUACAUUUAAUUCAUUCAGUACACCAUAACCUGAGAGUUUCUCAUCAAUUCUGAGAGUGCCCACUCAAUGGUGACGGAAGCAGUGUCACUCCGCACCAAGAUAUAUGUCCUGGAUAUGCACAAAUGUUAUAUCAAGAAAUUUGGAGCGACAAUGGGGGAAGCGACUCUCCUUUGACAAGCCGUAUACUCAAAUUAAUAUUUAAAAUGGCUUUUGUCAAGAGGUUGAUGACCACAAUCGAUUCUAGGCCAGCAAACAUGUAUGAACUUUGAAGUUGAACCACCAAUUAAGGCCGAUUGAUAAAAAUAAAUCACAAAAACAGAGGAACAUAAUUCACAAAAACAGGGCAAUGAAAACAAAGCAGUGCCGGAUCGAGUGACGAUCAGUGGAGGAGGGUAUCCAGAAACUGUUUGGUGGCGAUUUCAAUGACCAAGGGGUGUUUCGAUCUCAGCUCCAGCUCCAUAGCUCUCCACCUUGACUCUGCCUGCUUCAACUUGGCCUCAUCGACUGGUGGGCACCACUUGUACAUAUGGUCCAACAACUCGGAAGGCAGAUCCGUCGAGUUGACCGGUUUCAUGAGCUCGAAUAUGGAUGGCAUCGAAUCAAAAGGACCCAUGCUUCUAGGGUAAUCUGCUUUGCAGUGGCUUUCGUCAUCGAACCACUUUUCAUCUUCUCCGCUUGAAUCCUCCUCAUCGGUGGAAGACGGCGGCGGCGGCGGCGGCCGCUCAAUCUCCUUGCGCUUCCCUGGCAUUUUUUGUUUGUUUAGGGUUGGAGUUGAGAGUGCUUUUUAUUUUUGCUCCAGUGGUCUAACUGGUAAUUAGUAACUACUAUCGUGAAAACCCGGAAUUAGAGUAAUUAGUAAUUACCGUUUUUAAAAUUAAGUAAAUUAAUCGAUUCAAAUCAAUGCGCG